AACCAACCCCGCGCGGGUGGUGCCGCUCGAGCCGGGCAGUCCGGCGAGGCGGCGAAGAGGGAACCCGGUGCGAACCCGGGACGGCUCCCGCCACUGUGAGCGGCGACGCGAGGGCACGAACGCCACUGGGACCACGGACACGCGGUCUUGGGAAGGACGCCCGAGCGGAAGACCCGCGAGUCAGGAGACCUGCCCCCGCGCCUCGAACCGGU
rnacentral:ncRNA from 18 species